AAACAUCGAAGGUCGCGGAGAAAAUGAAACUACCAAAACAAUUAAUUGAUGAUUUAUUUCGAUUGUAUAAAGAAUGACAGUUAGCGAAUCUCAAGAUCAACCACUGAGGAUUGUUUGGCUUGAUGCAAUGACCUUAAACAGUGAAAUGAUUUUCCAGGAAGGUCUAUACACAAGCUGGAUUUUAUGGGGUGAUGAAAGAACUAUGAAUAUGUAAAUGGGAAUGAAACAGAAGGAAUUAAUAUGUUCUACUGAUCAUCCAGCUGAAAUCAUGCCUGUGGAAGAAUAGAGUGCAUGUCACAAAUACUGAUAUGAGCAAAUAACUCCAUAUUGCACAAAUAAUGUCAUGUUUCUUGCCCUCAUGACCUGAAAAGUUACAAAUUCUAGUUCAAAUUACAGAUGUGUUUUAAGAAAAAGUAAAACUUAGUCAGCUGUGAGAAAUAUUGGGUAAAAGUAGUGUUUUGAUGUCAUGACAGCUGUGAAGUUGUUUGAGAAGCACUAUCCUAAUUGUUCUAACAAUACAGAAUUUAACUUAUAAAAUUUCCAAAACUGCAUGCAUGAAAUAGUAAGACAUGUCUGUUGAAUGAAUCCUAGUUGUUUCAAAACUACAACAUGUGUGACAUUAAAGCACAACCUUUGGAGGAAACAUUUUUACAAUCAAAACUGCCUUGCCAGUGUGAGUGUAGGAAGGAUUUUUCCAGAAAUGACAGAAAACUACCAAUAUAGAAGAAAAUAUUUGUUACUGGCUGAAUAUAAUAUAUUUUAUUUCAAGAAUUAAUCAUGUUAAUCCAUGGUUAUAAUUGUGUUAAAAGAUAUUUUUACAUGACACAUCAUGUGUCUUGUUUAUAUUCUGCUAAUCAGACUAUGUUCUGCAAGAAAAUAUCUUUUAUGUGUAACCAUCAACAAAACAUGUCAUAACACAAAUCUGCCAUAAAAUGGCAGAGCUGUAAUGCAGGUAGGCAUAUCAGGAAAAUAUGUAGUUCUGAAAGACAAGUUAUAUUACAUAAAAUGAUGUUUGUUUUUUAUAAAUGAUCAUAAUUGACCAUUUGUGGUGUAAAACAAAUGUAUACUGAACAGAUGCUAAAUGAAUGUUCUGAUUCUUUCUGGAAAAUUUACAAAAAACUACUAUUUUAAGAAAAUAGUGCAUUGUUGCCAUGGUAACAUUAAUUUAAUUUUUAAAUUAUUUUGGAUAUCAUCAUAUGUAAACAGCAACUUUCUUGUUUAUAUGUUAUAUAUGUUAAGCUGUAUUAUGUUAGUGAAUAUAUUUUCAUAUGUAAUAAUUGCAUAAACAAAGCACUAUGUUAUUACACAAGCCUGCCUUAAAAUGGCAAUAGUUGUAACUGAGAGAGGUGUAUCUGAAAAUUAUGUAUUUCUCAAACCAUAUUACAUUAAUUUUCACAGAAUGAUGUCUACUCUCUUACUUUUAAAUAAGAAAACAGACAGCUUUUGAUGUAAAUAUAUGGAAAAACACUUCCAAUAUUCAAUUUAUUACAAAGAAAUUGCCAAAAAUGUUAGUAUUUUUGUAAGAAAAUACCACAUUGUUGCCAUGGUAAUGUUAGAAUUUUUGUAAGAAAAUACCACAUCGUUGCCAUGGUAAUGAUUCACUGAUCAGUAUAUCUAGGUCUUUUGAAAUUUUAGCAAACUCACAGUUGAUAAUAACAGUGUAAUAAUUAUAUCUUCUUGCCUGAUUUUCUUUCUUACUGUUUAAUAGAUAAGAUGUCUAUAAUGAUAAGAUAAAUGUCCUAGUUUUUGGGAUGUUGUCUAAUUUGAUAUCAAAUAAAUUCUAUAUCUUGUUCAAAAGAAUGUCAUAAAACAGUUGUCUGUAAACGGUUAGCACACUAGAAAAAGUUAAUUGUGUAUUUAUUUCACAUUCUAUGUAAUUUUUUGCUAGAUUCAUCAAGAGACUGUUAAAAAAGAGGUUAAACAACAGUGUUGCUAUAGAAACGAUUUUUAGAACAUAAAUAUUUUUUAUACUACAUGAAAGAAAGAGACAAAAAGAAAUACAUUCCAUUAAUUGCAUGUUGCUUUUGUUAUUUUAUCAUGUAUUUUAUCUUGAUAUUAUUUAAAUAUGGUGUCAUUAUUAAGAUAUACUGCCUCAAUUUUGAUACAGUUAGACAAAUACAUGGUGUCCGAAAAAAGGUAAUAUCUCCAUGACAACGACUGAUUUUUGUUGUCAAAUUGAAGAUUUUUACUCAGAACGGGUCAGUCUGUCAUAUU